CCUACGGGAGGCAGCAGUGAGGAAUAUUGGUCAAUGGACGCAAGUCUGAACCAGCCAUGCCGCGUGCAGGAAGACGGCUCUAUGAGUUGUAAACUGCUUUUGUACGAGGGUAAACGCAGAUACGCGUAUCUGUCUGAAAGUAUCGUACGAAUAAGGAUCGGCUAACUCCGUGCCAGCAGCCGCGGUAAUACGGAGGAUUCAAGCGUUAUCCGGAUUUAUUGGGUUUAAAGGGUGCGUAGGCGGUCGGAUAAGUUAGAGGUGAAAUCCCGAGGCUCAACUUCGGAAUUGCCUCUGAUACUGUUUGGCUAGAGAGUAGUUGCGGUAGGCGGAAUGUAUGGUGUAGCGGUGAAAUGCUUAGAGAUCAUACAGAACACCGAUUGCGAAGGCAGCUUACCAAGCUACGUCUGACGUUGAGGCACGAAAGCGUGGGGAGCAAACAGGAUUAGAUACCCUGGUAGUC
rnacentral:rRNA from 1 species